CCCCCCAACAGCCGACGGCUGACCAGUAACUUGGAAGAUUGUAAGUGUAUUAUAGUAAUACAGUAACGAUUAACUCGUAUAAAAUUCUAAAUAGGAUAAUGAUAAUGACAAUUUCCUAUUUAUAAGUCUUGACCAAAUUACGUGCCAGCAGUCGCGGUAAUACGUAGAAGACUAGUGUUAGUCAUCUUUAUUAGGUUUAAAGGGUACCUAGACGGUAAAUUAAACUCUAAAUGAGUACUUUUUUACUAGAGUUUUAUGUGAGAAGGAAGAAUUUCUGGAGUAGUGAUGAAAUACCUUGAUACCAGAAGGACUGGUAACGGCGAAGGCAUCCUUCUAUGUAAAAACUGACGUUGAGGGACGAAGGCUUGGGUAGCAAUAAGGAUUAGAUACCCUAGUAGUCCAAGCAGAAAAUGAUGAAUGUCAUAGGCUAGAUAAUAUUUAGUCUAUAAAUGAAAGUGUAAGCAUUCCACCUCAAGAGUAAUAUGGCAACAUAUAAACUGAAAUCAUUAGACCGUUUCUGAAACCAGUAGUGAAGUAUGUUAUUUAUUCCCAAUAGAUCCGCAAA
rnacentral:rRNA from 1 species